rnacentral:misc_RNA from 1 species
GAUGAAGAACGCAGUGAAAUGCGAUAAGUAGUGUGAAUUGCAGAAUUCAGUGAAUCAUCGAAUCUUUGAACGCACAUUGCGCCCUUUGGUAUUCCUUAGGGCAUGCCUGUUCGAGCGUCAUUUAAACCUUCAAGCUCAGCUUGGUGUUGGGUGACUGUCCGCCGCCCCCGGGCGCGUGGACUCGCCUCAAAAUUAUUGGCGGCCGGUACAUUGGCUUCGAGCGCAGCAGAAACGCGAACUCGAGCCCGUCGUAUUGGCUCCCAGAAGCUAUCUUCACAAUUUUGACCUCGGAUCAGGUAGGGAUACCCGCUGAACUUAAGCAUAUCAAUAAGCGGAGGA